rnacentral:rRNA from 1 species
UACGUAGGGGGCGAGCGUUGUCCGGAAUUAUUGGGCGUAAAGAGCGUGUAGGCUGUUCGGUAAGUCUGCCGUGAAAACCUGAGGCUCAACCUCGGGCGUGCGGUGGAUACUGCUGGGCUAGAGUACGGAAGAGGCGAGUGGAAUUCCCGGUGUAGCGGUGAAAUGCGCAGAUAUCGGGAGGAACACCUAUUGCGAAGGCAGCUCGCUGGGACGUUACUGACGCUGAGACGCGAAAGCGUGGGGAGCAAACAGG